GUGGGAACUUUGCGGAUCCUUCCAGAAUCUGUUCCUUUCUCUAUCAGCUCUGAUGGGACGAUCAGAGUGAACGACUCCACAGCUCUGGACAGAGAGGCCACUGAAAUGAUCGCGUUUCAGGUUGAAGCAUUAGAGACAGAACCACCGAACCAUGUAGGAACGACAAAUGUGAGGGUAACUCUUCUGGAUGAGAAUGACAACAGCCCUGCAUUCACCAGCAGCAAGUACACCAGCAAAGUCUUCACCAACCAAACAGAGGGAAUGUUGCUUGUUCAGGUUGAAGCUGAAGACCCAGAUGCAGGUGUAAAUGGACAGAUCAAAUACUCCAUUGACUUUGGAAAUCAAGAUGAAUACUUCUCUAUUGAUGAAACCACCGGGGAAAUCAUUCUGAAGAAAAACAUCCCACUUGGAGCACAUGGAAUCCUGACGUUUUUAUUGUUCAUAACAGCCAGAGACGGAGGGGUAGUCUCCCGCUCUGCCUCAGCCCAGGUGGAGAUUUUUGCUUUUGGAGAUUCAAAGCCACAGUUCACUCAGAGCACCUACACUGGCACCAUAGAAGAAGAGAGAGAGCCAGGAACAAUGAUA